GUUCAUUAUAUGUUCUAAAAUGAAUAGCUUUUUCCUUUCUAGUUUAUAGGAAAAAUAGUAUUUUUAUAACAGGAGUGAACCACAAAAUAAUGUGCCGUUUCCACCUUCUACACACAUUUAAAGAAAGCUCUGUUGGGAAGCAUAUGGAGGUCUGGCACUUUUUCCUCCUCCUCCUUCCAUGGAUUUAAAAGCCAGUAAUGACAGUUUACAGGAGCCUUUGUGUGCUGCCUCAUUGCCACGUGGAUGAUACAGGGAUGCAGGGCAGGAGGUGAUGAUUGCCAGUGCACACCUUCUGGGUGUGUUGUGCUGCUCAUAUUUGAAACAUGCAGUUUUCUCACCACACCUUAAAGAUCUGGUUUUAAUGGCUCUUAGGAAAUGCUGCUGCCUGAGUAGGACAUGCAGCCUAAACUAAAGGAGUGCUUGUGGUUUCUGUGAGCAAGGCAGAAGAGCACACAAGAUAAAAAUCAUCUUUACGUGCUUAGAACCUUUCAGUGCUCUGUAUGGUCCAUUCUCAAUCACCCUUCCAUGUAAUUAAUUGGUCACAACAGAUAAGCAAAACAGUUGUGUCUGAAGUAUUUUAAUUUAUUCUUUUCAGUUAUUAUAAAUAUAUAACUAUUCAGCUAUUUAUUAUUUUCAGUUAUUCUUUUGUCUUUCAAACUGCAGUGUUAUAAAUGUUUCUGUAAUGCUUUUUUUUUUUUUUUAAUAAUAUUUUUGUGAUAUGUUUUGAUCUCAGUAAAGCAGGCAGGGACUGUUUAAUUUCUGGGUUUAAUUUUAGUAAUUUAAUUUCAAAUAAGGAUAAAUGAUACAAAAUUCUCUGAGAGCACUCAGCGAUAUCUUUUUAAUUAUUCUUUUAAAUAUUUUUGGAAUUCUCCUUUCUUUGGAGGUGGCAGUCAACAUGGAUAGUGCUGUGAGAAAACUGAACCAGACUAUUGGAUCUUGAAGCUGAGUCUGUUCAGUAGGAAAUUACUGGAAGAAACUGUGGUACAUUCCCUUGACCUGUGUGACAUUCUCAAUUCUUGCCUUAGUCCAGGACAUUUUUACCAUAAUCUUGUAAGGGAGUGAAGCAAACUAUUUACAGAUUUAAACAUUUUAUCCAUUAUUUCCCCACUGUUACUGUUCCCAAAUGAUGACAAGUUUUACAAUAACAACACAAAGUUGCAGCUUUAA